AACUGCUGCACAAGGAGUGUUCGAUUGGACUCCUUUUCACACAAUGAACAACCAGCUUAGAACUGAUGCGGGCAAGGGGAAUCCGACUGUUUAAUUGAAACAAAGUAUUGCGAUGCCCUGAAAGGAUGUUGACACAAUGUGAUUUCUGCCCAGUGCUCUGAAUGUCAAAGUGAGGAGAUUCAACUAAGCGCGGGUAAACGGCGGGAGUAACUAUGACUCUCUUAAGGUAGCCAAAUGCCUCGUCAUCCAAUUAGUGACGCGCAUGAAUGGAUUAAUGAGAUUCCUACUGUCCCAAUCUACUGUCCAGCGAAACCACAGCCAAGGGAACGGGCUUGGGUGAGUCAGCGGGGAAAGAAGACCCUGUUGAGCUUGACUCUAAUCCGACUUUGUGAAAUGACUUAGGAGGAGUAGGAUAUGUGGGAGCUCAGGUGAUCUUGAAAUACCACUACUUUUAAUGUCACUUUACUUACUCUAUCCAACUGUGCCCUGCCUCACAGCAGGUUUUUGCUUUUAAGGUUGCUCUUUUGGCGUGUUGAUUUGCGUAGAAAACGUCGUCCGGUGGGGAGUUUGGCUGGGGCGGCACAUCUGUUAAAGGAUAACGCAGGUGUCCUAAGGUGAGCUCAAUGAGAACAGAAAUCUCAUGCGGAUCAAAAGGGGAAACGCUUGCUUGAUUUUGCUUUUCAGUGUGAAGAUAAACUGUGCAAACAUGGCCUAUUGAUCCUUUAG
rnacentral:rRNA from 1 species